rnacentral:lncRNA from 1 species
GGGGUCAGAGUGCCAUAUGGAUGAAGGGCAAAAAAGACAGAAUGUCUGAGCAAGCCGUGCGCUCUGCUCGCCCCGAGAUCACUCAGAAGCAGCACGAACUCUUGAGCAGGUUUUCUCAUGUUCUCACCCAGGCUGCUUUGGUGACAUCAGGGCCAGGGUAAGGCUGGGAUAGCUGAGAUCACACAGCCAAGAAGGAAGCAGCCGGUGAAAGAUCUGGAGCAGGAGUCUGAUGGGGAGCAGCUGAUGGAGCUGGGAUGGGUCAGUGUGGAAAAGAAGAGGCUCAGGAGAGACCUUAUUGCACUCCACAGCUCCUUGAAAGGAGGUUAUGGUGAGGUGGGGGUCGGCCUCUGAUCCCAGCAUAGCCUUAGGAUGGGGAAGUGCCAUGCUGAGGACCACACUGCGGAUUGCUCUGACUGGGUUUCUUCUUGUUGGCCCACACAUGAGCCGGAGCAUCUGCUGCAGCCCCUGCCCUGAGCCAGAGGAGGGGGCACAGCAGACGUAACUCCUGCUCAGAAGUUGAGCCCACGAUCCCACGUUGCUGCAGCUGAUCUCUAUUUUCCCUAAACUCUACAGACAGCGUCUUCAGAACUUAAUUUGAUUUUGAUUGAUUUUUUGAAACUUGAAACACUUCUAAACUAAUUUUCAGUAUAUUACUCUUGUCAACUCUUAAAGAUUUUGUCAGUAAGAAUUUGCUGAACAGACACAGUAAUUUUGUUUCUCAUUUUGGCAGAUCACCCCUAAAGAGGAAAGUGGGCAGGAGGGGGUGUUAUUAUAGCUGCAGUUAUUAGAAUAUACAUUGCAAUUACCUUGCUCCUAUUUGUGGGUCGUUUAAGAGCAAUUUCUGAGUGCAGCCACUAGGAGCUCAACCUGCACGGUUGUGUGAUGCCAUCUAAAAGGAGCCUCAUUCUUUGCUUGUUGCUCCUCUCUCAGAGUGAUUUUUAGCUUUGAGGGGUGUCCAUGUUGGAAGUUGGGUUCUGUGAUCCUUGAGGACCACCUUGAAGACACGGCCCGGCGUGGGCAUGGCCUAACCCUGUGUUCACACCUGAGAAGACAGAGA